UCGGUGGAAAGAAUUUCAGAUGUAUUUGUA
rnacentral:piRNA from 1 species